GUGGGGAAUAUUGGACAAUGGGGGGAACCCUGAUCCAGCCAUGCCGCGUGUGUGAAGAAGGCCUUUUGGUUGUAAAGCACUUUAAGCGAGGAGGAGGCUACCGAGAUUAAUACUCUUGGAUAGUGGACGUUACUCGCAGAAUAAGCACCGGCUAACUCUGUGCCAGCAGCCGCGGUAAUACAGAGGGUGUAAGCGUUAAUCGGAUUUACUGGGCGUAAAGCGCGCGUAGGUGGCCAAUUAAGUCAAAUGUGAAAUCCCCGAGCUUAACUUGGGAAUUGCAUUCGAUACUGGUUGGCUAGAGUAUGGGAGAGGAUGGUAGAAUUCCAGGUGUAGCGGUGAAAUGCGUAGAGAUCUGGAGGAAUACCGAUGGCGAAGGCAGCCAUCUGGCCUAAUACUGACACUGAGGUGCGAAAGCAUGGGGAGCAAACAGGAUUAGAAACCCUAGUAGUCC
rnacentral:rRNA from 1 species